UAUAUGGUUACACUCUGAGGCUAGAUAAAGUUGAUCGAAUCUCAUUUUGUCUAUCAAUCCUAAUUGUUAUCAAAUUGAUCACAGUCGUUGACGUGAGCUGUGUACUUAUUUAAUGUAUCUCCAUUUGAAGGUUCAUACCAGUAUAUUAACCGAACGCUAGAAGAAAGCCAAAUCAUCGCCUAAGGUGUUCUGUAACAAUGAAUUCGGAUUCUAGAUACUUGAAUACCUUCCAAUCCAAAAUUUUCGUCAACCGACCUGUAAACCUUAGAAAAAUAAAAUACUAUGGCUUCGAUAUGGACUAUACCCUGGCCUUGUAUAAAUGGCCGGUAUACCAUGAAGCUCUAUUUCUUCAUGCUCUUGAUUCAUUUGUGUCAAUGGGAUAUCCGAAAGAGCUUGGAGCCUUGACCUAUGACAUCGACUUUCCAGUGAGAGGACUGUGGUUCGACACGCUCUAUGGGUGUUUCCUGAAAGUGGAUAGUUUUGGCAAUAUCUUCAUGUGUGCCCUGGGAUACCAAAUGAAGAGCAAGCGAGAGAUUGAAGAGUUGUACCCUGGCCGAUUUGUCACUUUCACUGAUAGAAUGUACAUAUUCAACACUCCAUUUCACAUCCCGGAGUUGAUGUUCUUCGCAGCUGUCAUUAAUUACUUUGUGGAAAAAGACCAACUUAGUGGACGUUCAAGCAAAACAGGUGUCUUCUUAGCAGAAGGAAGCUUCAAACAGUUCAGCGAGUUGUUUGCGGAUAUGAGGGAAGCAAUCGAAAUAGUGCACAUGAAAGGCAGAUUCAAGGAGUACAUCCUAGAACACAUUUCAGAAUACAUUGAGAAGGAUGAAAAGAUUCCUCUCCUGCUGCAAACAUUGAAGACAGAGGGAAGAAAAGUGUUCCUGGUUACAAACAGCGACUGGGAAUACACAAAUGGAAUCAUGACAUACUUGUUUGAUCAGCCAAUCAGCGAGGAUAUCAAGGGGUCAAACUGGUUCAAAUUAUUUGACCUGGUGGUGACUAGCAGCCGCAAGCCCAAGUUCUUCAAAGAGGGUACUGAACUGUACCGGGUGGAUCCAGCGACAGGCGAACAUGUUGCUAUGUUUGGUGAGAGUGGGAGUGGAGUGAUGCAGCCGAACUGCGUGUACAGUGGGGGAAGUGUGGAUCAACUGGAAGACGCAUUAGAUGUGCAGGGUCGUUCAGUGUUGUACAUUGGAGACCACAUUUUUGGAGAUAUUCUGAAGUGUAAGAAACACAAAGGCUGGAAGACUUUCUUAGUAGUGGAGGAGCUGGACCAUCAGCUGGCUUGCUGGGUCAAAUGUAAACCACUCAUCCGAGAAUUAGAGCGAGUGGACUUCAUAAAAGUAAACAACCACAGAGGUCACUACAGUCUCGCAUGUCAGGCAUCAGAAGCUGAAGAUGGUGAAAAGACAAUGAAUGGGGGUGAGGCAAUGACAAACGGGCUUUCAGAGGUGAAAAUGGGACUGAAAGAGAAAUUGAGGGCGGUAGAUUUGACUUAUGGGAAACUAGGAGGACUUUUCCAGAGUGGAUCGAGAGAAACAUUCUUCGCUUCACAGGUGAAAGGCUAUGCAGACAUCUAUGCCACCAGGUGCACUGAUCUGCUACACUACCCUCUGGACUUCCACUUCCACACACCCAGACAGAGACUGCCCCACGAGAUGGCCUGUGAGGACAUCCCAGAGUGGACCAGUGUGAGUGACUCAUUCGACAGGGAGCACAGACAGCUCAACAAGAUGACGUCAGCACAAGCUAGUGUCAUGAUGAAUCACCUGCCCAAUAUAGCAGCUGUCAAUUCCGACACUGAUUACCAGAAGCUGUAGUAAUUGAUCAGAGGAUCCGAAGCAAAAUCGCAAUUUAUUUUGAUUGGUGAUGCAAAUUGAUGGACGUCUGUGAGAGUAAUUCACGAAAGCGAAGGCAACAGGGUGCAAAUUUGAUGACAAGUUUUUAAUCGAAAUUUGCCAACAAUCUCCAGUGUUCAAUGUGAUAAGUCUAUUCCGAACAGUAGAUGAUUUCAAUCCAGUCUACUUGGGCUCACUAAUGUGUGACAUUGGACUGAUAUGGAUUCAAACAAAACCGAACUCUUACCAAGUUUCCGUCAAAAUUAACCCUCCCACUGAUUUGUACCUUGAUCCGACAACAAAUCCUCCGACUACAACUGUCGUCACAACUAGCGAGACGACGGCUACUUUUAAUCCGACACAACCUGUUACUUCUCAGAGCACUGUGAGAGUUGUUACGACACAGCAGCGUGAAACGAGCACGGAUUCGACUACAGCUUCUGUGAAGCC